rnacentral:ncRNA from 16 species
UUGUAGCAUUCUGUUUCCGGUCUCUAAUGAGUGAAUAGGGAAUCCAGUGUAAAUCUGGAGCUGACGCGCAGCGGUAAAGACUGGCGGGAUGAAAUCUAUAGACACUGCGUAAUAACGUGGGAAGUCUUCGUCCAUUUAACGCCACCUAGCCCGAAGACCUGCCGGGAUCACGUCGCAUUUG